UACAGAGGGUGCGAGCGUUGUCCGGAAUCACUGGGCGUAAAGGGCGCGUAGGCGGCCUGAUAAGUAGGGGGUGAAAUCCUGUGGCUUAACUGCAGGGCUGCCUCCUAGACUGUUAGGCUCGAGCACGGUAGAGGCAGAUGGAAUUCCCGGUGUAGCGGUGGAAUGCGUAGAGAUCGGGAAGAACAUCGGUGGCGAAGGCGGUCUGCUGGGCCGUUGCUGACGCUGAGGUGCGAAAGCUAGGGGAGCGAACGGG
rnacentral:rRNA from 1 species